AUGACUCUGAUCUGCGUCCUCAUCUGGACUCUCCUCUGCUGCUGCUUCACAGAGUCCAGAGGACAGGUCACAGUGAGUCAGCCUGCAGCAGUGAGCUCUGCUCCGGGAGGCUCAGUCACCAUCUCAUGCAGGACCAGUCAGGAUGUUUAUUCUUUAUUUUUUUCUCACUUCUUAGCCUGGUACCAACAGAAAGAUGGAGAAACUCCUAAACUGCUCAUUUAUGUUGCUAGCAGUCGAGCAUCAGGGAUUCCAGAUCGUUUUUCAGGCAGUGGAUCUGGAUCUAGCUUCACUCUGACCAUCAGUGGAGUCCAGACUGAAGAUGCUGCAGUUUACUACUGUCAGAGUGCACACUACAUCAACAGUCAGUGGGUGUUCACACAGUGA